rnacentral:rRNA from 1 species
UACAGAGGUCUCAAGCGUUGUCCGGAUUUAUUGGGUUUAAAGGGUGCGUAGGCGGUCUAUUAAGUCAGUGCUGAAAUAUCCCGGCUUAACCGGGAGGGUGGCAUUGAUACUGAUGGACUUGAGUGCAGUCGAGGUAGGCGGAAUUGACGGUGUAGCGGUGAAAUGCUUAGAUAUCGUCAAGAACACCGAUAGUGAAGACAGCUUACUAGACUGUAACUGACGCUGAGGCACGAAAGUGUGGGGAUCAAACAGG